rnacentral:rRNA from 1 species
AGUAAUGCUUGGGAAUCUAGCUUAUGGAGGGGGAUAACUACGGGAAACUGUAGCUAAUACCGCGUAGAAUCGGGGGAUGAAAGUGUGGGACCUUCGGGCCACAUGCCAUAGGAUGAGCCCAAGUGGGAUUAGGUAGUUGGUGAGGUAAAGGCUCACCAAGCCGACGAUCUCUAGCUGGUCUGAGAGGAUGACCAGCCACACUGGGACUGAGACACGGCCCAG